rnacentral:snRNA from 1 species
GUGCUCACUUCGGCAGCACGUAUACUAAAAUUGGAACGAUACAGAGAAGAUUAGCAUGGCCCCUGCACAAGGAUGACAUGCAAAUUCGUGAAGCAUUCCAUCUUCUU